UACGAAGGGUGCUAGCGUUGUUCGGAAUCACUGGGCGUAAAGCGCGCGUAGGCGGUUAUUCAAGUCAGGGGUGAAAUCCUGAGGCUCAACCUCAGAAUUGCCCUUGAAACUAAAUAACCAGAGUGUCGGAGGGGAUAGCGGAAUUGCUAAUGUAGCGGUGAAAUGCGUAGAUAUUAGCAGGAACACCGGUGGCGAAGGCGGCUAUCUGGACGACAACUGACGCUGAGGCGCGAAAGCGCGGGGAUCAAACAGG
rnacentral:rRNA from 1 species